AGAGUUUGAUCAUGGCUCAGAAUCAACGCUGGCGGCGCGCCUAACACAUGCAAGUCGCACGAGAAAGUGGAGCAAUCCAUGAGUACAGUGGCGUACGGGUGAGUAACACGUGGAUCAUCUGCCCUGGAGUGGGGAAUAACGCUGGGAAACCGGCGCUAAUACCGCAUAUUCCCGAGAGGGGAAAGCAGCAAUGCGCUCGAGGAGGAGUCCGCGGCCGAUUAGCUAGUUGGUAGGGUAAAAGCCUACCAAGGCUGUGAUCGGUAGCCGGCCUGAGAGGGCACACGGCCACACUGGCACUGAAACACGGGCCAGACUCCUACGGGAGGCAGCAGUGGGGAAUCUUGCACAAUGGGGGAAACCCUGAUGCAGCGACGCCGCGUGAGCGAUGAAGCCCUUCGGGGUGUAAAGCUCUUUCGGCAGGGACGAUUAUGACGGUACCUGCAGAAGCAGCUGCGGCUAACUACGUGCCAGCAGCCGCGGUAAUACGUAGGCAGCAAGCGUUGUUCGGAGUUACUGGGCGUAAAGGGUGUGUAGGCGGCCCGUUAAGUUCCGUGUGAAAUCUCCCGGCUCAACCGGGAGGGUGCGCGGAAAACUGGCGGGCUAGAGUACGGGAUGGGAGAGUAGAAUUCCUGGUGUAGCGGUGAAAUGCGUAGAUAUCAGGAGGAAUACCGGUGGUGUAGACGGCUCUCUGGACCGUAACUGACGCUGAAACACGAAAGCGUGGGUAGCAAACAGGAUUAGAUACCCUGGUAGUCCACGCCCUAAACGAUGCAUAUUUGGUGUAGGCAGUUCAUUCUGUCUGUGCCGGAGCUAACGCGUUAAAUAUGCCGCCUGGGGAGUACAGUCGCAAGGCUGAAACUCAAAGGAAUUGACGGGGGCCCGCACAAGCGGUGGAGCAUGUGGUUCAAUUCGACGCAACGCGAAGAACCC
rnacentral:rRNA from 1 species